GUUCUCGGGGUUAUCUAACGCUGGCCCUCUGUAACACCUGCCACUCCUCAGAAGAUGCUUUCUAGACUAGCUGCGAAAGGAGAGCGCUCCGGGAUAUUCCAAACCGCUGCAGCUGCCGGGAAUUGAAGGUGACUGAGUUUGGGCAAACGGAAAGGCUUCCUUCCUUGUCCCGGUCUGCCGCAGCCGUCUCGGAGGCCUUGGCGCAGCCUUCAACCCGCCCCAGGCGUGUGCCUGGCGGGUCGGUGGCAGGCGACUGGGAGCAGAGCCCGCUGGGGCCGUGUGCUGGCACCGCGAGAGAGGGGGAGGCGCCUGCGGCGGCGGUCACCCUGCCGCUGGGACAGUGCCUGCCCAGGCGCCCUUCCUGGGCUUAGGCCUGGCAUUCUCUGUCCGAACCAAGUCCAGCUUAGAAACGCCAAGCACUGCAGGCAAAGGUCUUAGACUGCUCUGGUAACACCCUGGGCUGGUCUCUAGUCGCGUCUACAUAGGCAGAACCAAGCCUUUGGCGGUCCUCUGGUGGAUUUGUUCAGAAGUCCUCUGGGCUGAUGAUCAAGAUCUGGAGCGCAGUAAUGUCUAUGGUGAAGUACCAGGAUAAUGGCAUCUAGUUAUCGUGGUUAUUAUUAUUUUAGUUAUUAUUGGAACCAUUUUUUUUUUCAGUGUCUUACUACAUAGCCAAAGCCUUGAGCUCUUGGCGAUCUUCCUCCCUUAGCUUUCCCAGGACUGAGAUUUUUGAGCAUUGGUCACAACUUCCCGUCAGGAUAAUUGCUUCAAAGGGUCCACGAGGAUGUUCCAGAGAGAUGUCCUACACAUGCGUGGCUAAUUAAGAGUGUUCUUGGUGGAAUAGUGGUAACCACGUGCAGAAAGAAUGGCCGACUUCCUAACUGAAUCCCACAUCUUACCUUGGCUAUCUCUUUGUAUAGGAACGGUUUGGGGGAGCGCAGGAUGUGACCACCAGUUCUGCAAUCCUUCCCACUCUGGCAGCCAUAGGCUCUACCAUAGCCCGCUUAUUGACCUCUGGGAGUCUGAGUUCCCUCACCUGUACCAUGCCCUGCCCCUGCCCACAGAAGCAGGGACUGGAUUGGUGAGAAGUCAUUCUCCAGUAUCCAUCUAGGACAUGAAUUGUGACAGGGUGUGUAGGUCACCUUUCGGUCACAGCUAUGAAAUGCCCGAGGUGCUCUGCCAACAGGAGAGGUUUGUGUUAGCUCACAGUUUUAGAGGUCUCAGUCUGUGAUCAAUCAGCCCCUUUGUUGAGCCAGUGUGAAAAGGUAUAUCAUACUGAAAUGCAUAGAAUGGCUAAAAACUAGUCCUAGUAUGGCCAGGGGAAAGGGGAGCAAGAGAAGAGUGCUGGUUGGUUGCUGUUGUGGUUGUUUGUUUUUGUUUGUUUGUUUUGUCAACUUGACACAUUCAAACUUAGCCAGGAAGGCAGAAUCUUCAUUGAGAAAUGAAUCUUCACCAGAUCGUCAAUUCAUAAGUCUAUGGGGAAAUUUUUUUUUGAUUGAUGACCGAUGUAGAGUGGAAGAGCCCGGCUCACUGUGGGUGCUGCCACCCCUGGGCACAUCCUCCUGGGUUGUAUAAGAAAAGAGUCUGAGCAAAACCACUGGGUGCAAGCCUGUAGGCAGAGCUCUUCCUCGGCCUCUGCUUCUGCGUGGAGCUGCGGCUCUGUCUGUCUUUCAUCCCUUAUGAACUGAACGGCAACUGUGCCGUAAAAUAACCCUUUCCUUACCAAGUUGCUUUAGGUCACGGUCUUUAUCAUUGCAAUAGGAACCCAACUACAGUGCUGUGACAGGCCUGCCUGCACUCUUCUGGGAGGAUUUAGGGAUGACUUUGGAAUGUCAGGCUUGAAAAGUCAUUGAGUGCUUAUAGCUUCAUGCCCUGUUGUGGGAGCUUGAAAGACAGGGAUGCUGGAGAAGAGAUGGAGGUGGUAGAGACCUGGCUUGUAAAACUUUGCAACGAAGCAAAGACAACUCGAGUGAGUUUGAAUUAAGAAUCUGUGGCUCUGGUCAGCUGGGGCUAAAAUAUCAACUGUGAUGAACAAGAGGCCAGAAACACUGAAAUGAACUUUUGUUUUGCUGGGACAGUCCAUGUUGGUCAUCUAAAGCUGGAGCUUAGAAGUCAGCUGCAGCUAAGAAGAGACCAGUAUCAUCGAGGGACAGGACAGCACAUGGGAACUGGGGACCAGAGGGAGCCAAGGCAGUUGAAGAUGGUAAUGCGUAAGAGCCACCCAGGUUAUACAGGUUUUGAGGUCAUGGGUGAGUCUUGGAGAGCAGCUGAAGCUUGGCACUGUAUAGCAAGGCCAGAGUUUCUGAGGAGAAGCCUUUGGUGAAGGUUUACAGUAGAGACUCCAGCAUGUUGACACUGUCAAGGGCAGCAGCAGCUGUGGCGUGGAAUCCACCUGAGCCUAUGACACAGGUUGUAUGUGUUGUGUAUGGCAGAACAAGAGAAGUGGGGACCAGAAGAUUAUGAGUGAGUCCCAGACGUUGAACACUAAGCUAUUUUAUAUUUACUGAAGUUUGGCUUUGCUCUGAUUUGAUUAGGAUGACAGUACCCCGAUUCUUCUUUCUUGGAGCAAGUAAUUAUUUAACUUAUUUUUUAUUUACAGGAGUCCACAGUUGAGAGACUUUGAACUUUUAAAUGUGUUUAGGGAAGAGCACACUGGCUGUCCAGUGCCACAGGACCAACCCUGAAAACAUACAUACAAGUAACACUACAGACUGAACAGGCACCCCCUUUCUGAAGCCGCCUCGGGAAACCACUGGGCCUGAAGCAGAGGCAGCAAGGGCCCUCAGGACAGAAGACAAACCUCACUUGUGCCUUGGUUCUGCGUCUUGGUCACAACAGCCCGGCUUGCACCUGCACCAAGAACUCCAGACUUCUAAUGAAUCAAUUCACUUUUUCAAUAUGUCUUAAAAAAGAAAAGUUGGAGAAAAAAAACAAAA